rnacentral:lncRNA from 1 species
AAAGUGUAUAAUCUUAAUUUAAGCUAUUAGAUUCAAAUCCAUUAGUCUAUUGCAUUUUCAUUUUAAAAUCUGCACAUUGUAAGGUGUAGGGUAAUCAUGUGUAGAUCUUAAGAGCCAUUGGAUUCAAAUCUAAUGGCUCCAAUUUGAAUCCCCACUUUAGAUAAAGUGUUAGAUCUCUUAUUAGAAUCUAAAUAUUUAUAGAGGUUUAAUCAACAACCUUUAAAAAUACUCGUGAUUUUACACUGAUUAAUAUCUAUUAGAUUGAAAAUAAAUUAUCAAAUUAGAUUUAUCAAAAGUUAAAUAUUAAAUAAAAUGGUGUUCUUUCUCCACGUGGAACCCAACACAAUCACUCUCUUCCACUUUUACUUUAGUUUUCACAUGCUCUCCCUCCCUUUCUCCUCUCAUUUUCAAUCACUACUUUUUGUUUGUCAAUUUCUGUCUCCAAAUUCAUCCAAGCAAUUAACUCACAACCUGCAGAAAUUCUAUCCAAAGCCUGUCCAUUAACAAGCAAGAAAGCUGAAACAAGAAGAUUAAGCUAGUGGUUAAAUCUUCCCCCAGAAAUUUAUAAGUUGGAUUUCUCAUAAGAAGCAAAAUUUCUUCGUUCUGAUAGAUAUGUCUGAAAAGCAUAAAAGAUUUUAGUAUAUUGUCAUGCUUUUGUACCAUUAAUGCUUUUUUUUUUCAUGGUUGUUUUGAUUUGCUUCCCUGUUAUCGGAGUAUGUUGCCAAAGUGGUUGUUGGCCACCAAAGGUCAUUGAUGAGGAAGAUUUGAAGAAACAAAUAUACUUGGUUAAGUAUUCCAAUUUGCAUAGGACGAUAUCACAAAAUAAUUAUAAAAGCGUGACAGCAUACAAAAUCUUUUAUGCUUUCGGACAUAUUUACAUUUCGUGAGACGAAUUCGAAGAGAAUAAAGAAAUUUGUGUAAAUUGGUAUAUGUUAUAGGUUGUUGGAAAUAAAAAUCAAAGGAAAAUGAUGGAAAUAUAUGAGAGAGAAAUAUUUGAGUAUUUAAUUUUAAUAAAUCUCAACCAUA